AUGAACGCUAGCGACAGGCCUAACACAUGCAAGUCGAGGGGCAGCACAAGGAGCAAUCUGAGGUGGCGACCGGCGCACGGGUGAGUAACACGUAUGCAACCUGCCUGUAAGCGGGGAAUAACCCGUUGAAAGACGGACUAAUACCGCAUAAUACUAAAUUACUGCAUGGUAAUUUAUUUUAAACAUUUUAUGGCUUACAGAUGGGCAUGCGCAUGAUUAGCUAGUUGGAGAGGUAACGGCUCCCCAAGGCAACGAUCAUUAGGGGUUCUGAGAGGAAGGUCCCCCACACUGGUACUGAGACACGGACCAGACUCCUACGGGAGGCAGCAGUGAGGAAUAUUGGUCAAUGGACGAGAGUCUGAACCAGCCAAGUCGCGUGCAGGAAGAAUGUCCCUAUGGAUUGUAAACUGCUUUUGCAGGGGAAUAAAGUGCAUCACGUGUGAUGUUUUGUAUGUACUCUGCGAAUAAGGAUCGGCUAACUCCGUGCCAGCCGCUGC
rnacentral:rRNA from 1 species